GAUGAACGCUGGCGGCGUGCUUAACACAUGCAAGUCGAACGGAAAGGCUCCUGCUUGCAGGGGUACUCGAGUGGCGAACGGGUGAGUAACACGUGGGUGAUCUGCCCUGCACUUCGGGAUAAGCCUGGGAAACUGGGUCUAAUACCGGAUAGGACGAUGGUUUGGAUGCCAUUGUGGAAAGUUUUUAGGUGUGGGAUGAGCUCGCGGCCUAUCAGCUUGUUGGUGGGGUAAUGGCCUACCAAGGCGUCGACGGGUAGCCGGCCUGAGAGGGUGUACGGCCACAUUGGGACUGAGAUACGGCCCAGACUCCUACGGGAGGCAGCAGUGGGGAAUAUUGCACAAUGGGCGCAAGCCUGAUGCAGCGACGCCGCGUGGGGGAUGACGGCCUUCGGGUUGUAAACUCCUUUCGCUAGGGACGAAGCGCAAGUGACGGUACCUGGAGAAGAAGCACCGGCUAACUACGUG
rnacentral:rRNA from 1 species